rnacentral:rRNA from 1 species
GACGGAGGGCGCAAGCGUUGUUCGGAAUUACUGGGCGUAAAGCGCGCGCAGGCGGGAAGGUAAGUCUGGAGUGAAAUUCCGGGGCUCAACUCCGGAGCUGCUUUGGAUACUGUCUUUCUAGGGACCGGUAGAGGCCGGUGGAAUUCCCGGUGUAGCGGUGGAAUGCGUAGAGAUCGGGAAGAACAUCGGUGGCGAAGGCGGUCUGCUGGGCCGUUGCUGACGCUGAGGCGCGACAGCGUGGGGAGCAAACGGG